rnacentral:rRNA from 1 species
CUGCAUGGUUGUCGUCAGCUCGUGCCGUGAGGUGUUGGGUUAAGUCCCGCAACGAGCGCAACCCCUGUCCUGUGUUGCUACUCCGCAAGGAGAGGACUCUCAGGAGACUGCCGUAGGAUAACACGGGAGGAAGUGGGGAUGACGUCAAAUCAUCAUGGCCUUUAUGUCCAGGGCUACACACGUGAUACAAUGGUACAGACAGAGGGCUGCAAGACCGUAAGGUGGAGCCAAUCCCUAAACUGUAUCCCAGUUCAGAUCGAGGGCUGCAAUUCGCCCUCGUGAAGUUGGAAUCGCUAGUAAUCGCAGAUCAGCAGGCUGCGGUGAAUACGUUCCCGGGCCUU